rnacentral:rRNA from 1 species
UAGGGAAUCUUCCGCAAUGGGCGAAAGCCUGACGGAGCAACGCCGCGUGAGUGAUGAAGGUCUUCGGAUCGUAAAACUCUGUUAUUAGGGAAGAACAAAUGUGUAAGUAACUAUGCACGUCUUGACGGUACCUAAUCAGAAAGCCACGGCUAACUACGUGCCAGCAGCCGCGGUAAUACGUAGGUGGCAAGCGUUAUCCGGAAUUAUUGGGCGUAAAGCGCGCGUAGGCGGUUUUUUAAGUCUGAUGUGAAAGCCCACGGCUCAACCGUGGAGGGUCAUUGGAAACUGGAAAACUUGAGUGCAGAAGAGGAAAGUGGAAUUCCAUGUGUAGCGGUGAAAUGCGCAGAGAUAUGGAGGAACACCAGUGGCGAAGGCGACUUUCUGGUCUGUACUGACGCUGAUGUGCGAAAGCGUGGGGAUCAAACAGG